rnacentral:sRNA from 1 species
UUCCUCAUGUUUCCUGAUCCUGUCCUGGGUCUGUAGUCAUAGUUCUGGAAAUUUCUCUUGGGUCCCAGACUAGGGGGUUCCUCUAAGAUCUCAUGGCCCUGCUUCCUCCCAGUCCCCUCACAGGACAUUUUCUUCCCACAGGUGAGAAAGGAGGGAGCUACUCUCAGGCUGCAUGUAAGUGGUGGGGGUGGGAGCGUGGAGGAGCUCACCCACCCCAUAAUUCCUCCUGUCCCACGUCUCCUGUGGGCUCUGACCGGGUCCUGUUUUUGUUCUGCCCCAGGCAGCGACACUACCCAGGGCUCUGAUGUGUCUCUCACGGCUUGAAAAGCCUGAGACAGCUGCCUGUGUGGGACUGAGAUGCAGGAUUUCUUCACGCCUCCCUUUUGUGACUUCAAGAGACUCUGGCAUCUCUUUCUGCGAAGGCAUCUGAAUGUGUCUGCAUCCCUGUUAGCAUAAUGUGAGGAGGUGAAGAGACAGCCCACUCCCGUGUCCACCGUGACCCCUGUUCCCAUGCUGACCUGUGUUUCCUCCCCAGUCAUCCUUCCUGUUCCAGAGAGAUGGGGCUGGAUGUCUCCAUCUCUGUCUCAACUUCAUGUGCACUGAGCUGCAACUUCUUACUUCCCUACUGAAAAUAUGAAUCUGAAUAUAAAUUUGUUUUCUCAAAUAUUUGCUAUGAGAGGUUGACGGGUUAAUUAAAUAAGUCAAUUCCUAGAAUUUCAGAGAGCAAUUAAAGACCUGAGAACCUUCCAGAA